ACGUGUAAGUAAUCUUUUGUAACUUAAAAGUAAAAUAAAUUCAUACAUACAAUAAUUUACAAAGUUAUAAUGUACAAUAAUAAUUACAAUGACAAGUGGCCCAUAAAUACACCAAGUGUUGGUGAUAGUAACCUACUGUCUGUGUGAUAGAGGGGUCAACUGGAAUCCUCGACAAAAUCGGUAUCUACAAGCUACCAUAGGCCUGAAAUAUUUGGAAAAGAGGUGGGUGAGAUUUUGCAAUCCCAAUGAGUAAACAGACAUUAUCAUAAAUAUCUAAAGGCGAGUAAAAUGGAGGCAAGUUUAAAUAACAAAUUACAAACCAUUUCAUAAGGUUUUCAAUUUAUUUCUUAAACCAUAAAAUAUUUGUAAUUUACUAAAACAAUUGUUAAGGCUUAUGACUUUUAUUAAAAACAGGGCUCAAGCCAAAACUAGUCCUCGGGGAUACCUUGGCCGAGGCAUCUAACCGAUUCCGCCAAGGUUGUUAAGAUAUUUAAAUGUUAAACACAUGUUAGUUUUGAAAACAAGCCGUUCCUUGGCGUUAGCGGAGUUACACAUUCACGUGGGGGUUCGAGGUGAAGUGAGCUCUAACAUUACCCCGGGAGUUACCCUCAUCACCUCUACAACCAGAGUAACUAUAUAACUGGGUUUACCGUGCCCCUCUAAUAGGCAGUCCACGGAAAUCCAUCACUGCAGUGACUAAACCCACCAAUUUUAAUAAAAUUUUGACAGUAUAAUGUGACUUUUAUUUAUUUACCCAGCCUGCAUAGUAAAAGACAGCUUACAUAAAUUCUCAAUGCAAUUAUAAAAUAUAGCCACAUAUACUCAUAUAUCAUAAGCCAUUCAUAGAAAAAUAUAUUUUUUAAGACAAUUGACAACCUCCAAUUACUCAAUUUUGUAAUAAAUAGUUUCUUGUUUCAGAAGAUCAAGACAAUGUAUUUAUUUGUCACAUUUAUUUCUAAAACAUCAAAAAUCUCAUUUUAAUCUCAUUUUCGUUUCAUAAAAUACAUAAAGAGCAUUUAAAAAUAAACUCUAGAUAAUUUACAAUAAUAAUAGGUUUACUCACCGUUUGUACAAACUAAAUGCUUUCUAGGUGCCCCAAUCACUGUUCGUCGGGUAUAACUUGCUUGCCUUUACCGGAAGGCUCUCCUCCUAGACACAUUGCAAAAAUUACACAAUUCACCACAUUGAUGCUAAAUCACUAUAUAAUUGACUUAAAUCUUAUACUAAUGCAUGGUAUGAAAUGCAAUAGCCUAAAAUGGCUUAAACGCGAUAUUAACCUAUUUUUGGCACUUUACUCGAUAAAUUGCUAACGCGCUCCAUUUUAGCUCUAAAUUGUCCCAUUUUCUCUCCAACAUUUCUAACCAUUAAAUAUCAGCCAAUAACUCACUAAAAUCAUCAAAAAUAGCUCACUUUCCUCCUUGGAAAAUUCGGUCAAAAAUGGGACAUUAAUUCGGUAAAUCUUCCACUUUAUUUUUCUCACAUUUAACCAUUUUUCAUCAUUUUCUCUUCAUUUCUCUUAGAAUAAAAAUCAGUUCAUCAUCAAUGUACAUCACUGAACAUUCAGCCAAGGGUGGGUAUUGUGAAAAUUUCAUGCUUUCUUGCCUAAUUUGAUUUCUAUACCCAUUUAACUAACUAAAACUAUCAAUUUAACUAAAAAUCAAAACAUAAAAAUUUCAAAUUCCUCCCCCUUGAAUUUCGUCCAGCCCUUGAUAUCACUUUUUGAUCUCUCUCCUCAAGCAUGCUAAAUGGAAACAAAGGCAUAGGAAAGGUAGAAAUCAAGCUAAAGUCGAAAAAUCUUACCGUUAGACGCGUAAACGGACGAAAAACGCGAUUUCCCCUUUGAAUUUUCUACUUUUCCUUUGGUUUUUCUCUUUUCUUCCUUUCCUUUCUAUUUUCUCUCUUGUUCUUUCCUUAUGGCCUGCCAUCACUUAAUAUAGGGUUUAAAUGGGCUGACUUUUCAUUCAAAUGAUAUUAAAUCAUUAAAAAGUGCCAUGUAUCACUUUCCCAUUGGCUCGUUUUUAAAAUUUCAUCCAUUAAACUUCUAUUUUUCACCACUUGAAAUACCACAGUUAUUCAUACCAAAAAUAAAUAAAUCCUAUAAUUUUGACAAGUUUUGGGUGGUGAAAAUUACAGUUUUUACCCUGAAAUGACAAAAUUACCGUUUUACCCCUAUGUUUCAAAAAUUACCGAAAUUGAAAUUUUUCACUUCCUAUCUUUAAAUUAUAGUCCAAAUAGUUAAUCUUGGUCAAAAAUUUCACUCCAUGAUCAAAUUAUUGUCUUAGAUGACAAAAUGACGAUUUUGCCCCUGAACAUCAAAAUUUUCAAUUUUUUUCCAAAUGAACCCUUGAACUCCAAACAAUCAUUUUUAGUCAUUCAUGGACUGUAAAAUAUUAAAUUUCAUCCUACGAUUCCUAUUUAAACUAGUUCGAGGUUAAAUCAACUCAAGUGUACCGUUAGGUACAAUACCGAGUUUCGUCUAUUCUUAGGAACUUUCCUAGCAUAGUAACAUGCUGCUCAGUGCAUGUAUGUCAUGACAUGUGUUUAUAGGGUCGGGUUUUACAUAAACUCAUUUUUCUAUCAAAUCACAAAAACGAAUAAAAACUAUUUUAGAUAAUUAAGACGAUAACAAGGUUACUCACUAUUUCGGGAGUCGAAUUUCGAGCACUCCGAUUCUUGAUCCUCGAGUACUAUCUCUUUACUUUUGCCAGAUUGCUCGCCACCUAGACAUAAUGCACAAUAAGCCAUUUACUACAUUUGUGCUAAAUUGUUAUAAAACCAAUUCAGGCUCCAUAAUAAUGCAUGAAAUGGGAUGUGAAAUACUCGGGUAACUAUUUAAAUAUAGUGUUCAAUAUAUAUUCAAUUAUGUACCUAAAUAAAAUGGUAUUGGCCUAAUUCGAUCUAUCACUCGAUUAAUUGGCCAAUACGUCCAAUUCAACUCCAAAUAAUUUCAUUUUUCUCUCAAUACUCCAAAUCAUCAAACACAAAUUAAAUAACUUGAAAUAUGGCAAAAUCAUCCUCACAUUUUCUCUUGGAAAAUUCGGCCAUGGUGGGUGCAUCAACACUAUAAUUUUUCAAGCUUGAUUCUCACACCAUAAAUCACUAAUUCCUAACCAAAUCACUUGAAAUAAAAUCAAAAUCAUCAUCAAUAUUCUACAUGGAGAAUUUCGCCAAUGAUGGGUGAUGGGAGGAAGUGAAUUUUUCUUGUUGGCUUUUCAUACUACACUUCACUAACUAACUAAAAACACUAAAAUACAUUGAAAUCUAACCAAAUCAAGCAUCAAAACCUCCCUCUAAGUGUUCGGCUAGCAUGGGAUUCAUCAUGAAAUCGUUUGAUUCAACCAUGGAAAACAAGAAAAAAUGCUUAAGAAAGAGAGAUCUAAAGCUUAAUUGAAAAAUCUUACCUUUUUUUCACUUGUUUUCUUGAAUUUUCACACUUUUCCCUUGAAUUUUUUCACCUAGGGUGUUGUUCUUCCUUU
rnacentral:lncRNA from 1 species